UUAGAUUUGUAUUUUUCAAUCUAUUAAUGCUAAAAGAUUGUUUAAUUUAACAUUAAUAGACAAAAUUUGUUAAUUGGCCUUAUUUUGUCUACUUCAGCCGCAUCUCCGGAAUUUCAUGGCAUACAAGGCACAAGUAAUAAAAAAGCUCAAUGAAGAAGUGUCUCUUACGGCAUGUAAAUUUUGGCCUGCAUACUGUGAUGCUCAGCUCCAACCAACGGAUUUAAAAGAGUUAUUGCCACGCCUGAUUCCAAUGUUGCUCUCAGACAUGGCUUAUGAAGAUGAUGAUGAGACACUUUCCAAUGAUGAGGUUUAUUUUCCGUUGGUAUUAUAUGUUUUUCACCAUUUUUAAAUUAUAUAAUUAUAAUGUACGAAAGCAAUUCACUUUUGCAGGAGGAUAAAUCUCAACAAGACAUAUAUAAGGUUUAGUUCUAUGUUCUUGUGACUUCACUUAUUCUUACAAAUAAUUUUUAUUCAAUUUUCAU